rnacentral:tRNA from 1 species
AAACUAGUUUAUAAAAAAUAUUUGAUUGCAAAUCAAACGAAGAUAUAUCGUUUU